rfam:Myotis lucifugus cont2.413, whole genome shotgun sequence.
GGUGGUUCUUGGGUAAGGCACCCUGGAAUCAGGCUCCCUCCUCUCUGUUUCCAGGUGCGUCACCCAAGAACCGCC